GCCCCGGUAGCUCAGCUAGGUAGAGCGCGGGCCUCGUAAGCCCGUGGUCCCGGGUUCAAAUCCCGGCCGGGGCUCCA
rnacentral:tRNA from 1 species